AGUUCUGCUUGAAAUAAAGCUGACAUUACAACAGGCUGAUGAAGCUUUAAAGUACUGCGCAGGAACUUACCAGCAGCUCCAAGAAGCAGUAUGGUUAUGAAGAUGUCCUGUCAGAUGUUGAAGAAUUAGUCUGGUCUGCCUAUGAGGACUUCAGUAGAUGCAAGUUCUUUGAAACCCUGUCUGGAAUCAUUGAUAGUGCUUCAGCAGAGGGAAUCAAAGCUUGAUUUUGAAACCAUUACAGGGAGGGGGCAGAGCACUGAAACCGGAGGCUAGAGACUGGACGUCCAGCACAUAAUCCAUGUUACCCAUCAUGUAGGAUUUAAAUAGAUCAAAAUAAACAUUUUUUGUCAUAUGUUUUAGAAGA